rnacentral:rRNA from 1 species
GACGAACGCUGGCGGCGUGCUUAACACAUGCAAGUCGAACGGAAAGGCCCUGCUUGCAGGGUACUCGAGUGGCGAACGGGUGAGUAACACGUGGGUGAUCUGCCCUGCACUUCGGGAUAAGCCUGGGAAACUGGGUCUAAUACCGGAUAGGAGCCAUUUUUAGUGUGAUGGUUGGAAAGUUUUUUCGGUGUAGGAUGAGCUCGCGGCCUAUCAGCUUGUUGGUGGGGUAAUGGCCUACCAAGGCGGCGACGGGUAGCCGGCCUGAGAGGGUGGACGGCCACCUUGGGACUGGGAUACGGCCCAGACCCCUACCGGGGGCAGCAGGGGGGAAUAUUGCCCAAUGGGCGGCAGCCUGGUGCAGCGACGCCCCGUGGGGGAUGACGGCCUUCGGGUUGUAAACUCCUUUCGCUAGGGACGAAGCUUUUUGUGACGGUACCUAGAUAAGAAGCACCGGCUAACUACGUG